CUCAGGGCUGGGGCAGGAGAUUGUGGUGCAGGCUUACCUCCGGCAGCUCCCAGUUAGCGGCACAGCCAGGAUGCAGAGGCAGGCUUCCUGCCUGUCCUGUUACUGUGGACCAUGCUGUGCCCUGGAAGCAGCCAACAGUAGGUCCAGCUCCGAGACAGAGACACGCAAGUGGCUCCGCGUGGCUCUUGCCUGCAGGCACUGGCCCCCUCCCAGCUCCCAUUGGCUGGGAACCAGCUAGUGGGAGUGCAGAGCCGGUGCUUGGGGCGGGAGCAGCAUGUGGAGACCCGUGGCCCCCUGCCUACGAGCCGGACCUGCUGCUGGCCCCUUCUGGGGUGCAGCGCGGUGUCAGAACAGGUAGGAACUACUAGUUUUUACUGGCCGACCACCAGGGUCCCUGGGUGCUGAGCAAGGUGACCCAGUGCCUUGCAUUCCGUAACCUGAACUUUGAAAAACAUUGCUGUAGUGCAGUCUCUUUGUCUUGAAAGUCAAAUUCACAAAUGUAGAAUUACGUACAAAAAAUACCCCUGCAUUGAAAAACAAAACAAUGUAAACCCUUAGAGCUUUCAAGUCCACUCAGUCCUACUUUUUGGUCAGCCAAUCACUCAGACAAACAAGGUUGGUUACAAUUUGCAGGAGAUAAUGCUGCCUGCUUCUUGUUUACAAUGUCACCUGAAAGUGAGAACAGGUGUUUACAUGGCACUGUUGUAGCUGGCAUUGCAAGAUAUUUAUGUGCCAGGUGCGCUAAAGAUUCAUAUGCCCCUUCAUGUUUCAACCACCAUUCCAGAGGACACGCUUCCAUGCAGAUGAUGGAUUCUGCUUGCUAACGAUCCAAAGCAGUGCAGACUGACGCAUGUUCAUUUUCAUCAUCGGAGUCAGAUGCCACCAGCAGACGGUUCAUUUUCUUUUUUGGUGGUUCGGGUUCUGUAGUUUCCACAUCUUUUAAGACUUCUAAAAGCAUGCUCCACACUCGUCCCUCUCAGAUUUUAAACGGCGCUUCAGAUUCUUAAACCUUGGGUUAAACGGUGUAGCUAUUUUUAGAAAUCUCACAUUGUUACCUCCUUCUAUGACAGGUGAAUCCGAUGAAGUGAGCUGUAGCUCACGAAAGCUCAUGCUCAAAUAAAUUGGUUAGUCUCUAAGGUGCCACAAGUACACUUCCUUCUAUGUGUUUCAUCAGAUCUGCUGUGGAAGUGUUCUUAAAACAAACAUGUGCUGGGUCAUUAUCCGAGACUGCUAUAACAUGAAAUCUAUGCAGAAUGCAGCAUGGAAGCAUGUCCUCUGGAAUGGUGGCCGAAGCGUGGAAGGAGCAUACGAAUGUUUAGAAUAUCUGGCAUGUAAAUACCUUACAACGCCAGCUACAAAAGUGCCAUGCGAACGCCUGUUCUCACUUUCAGGUGACAUUAUAAAUAAGAAGCAGGCAGCAGUAUCUCCCGUCAAUGUAAACAAACUUGUUUGUCUUAGGGAUUGGCAGAAUAAGAAGUAGGACUGAGUGGACUUGUAGGCUCUAAAGUUUUACAUUGUUUUGUUUUUGAGUGCAGUUAUGUAACCAAAAAAAAUCUGCAUUUGUAAAUUACACUUUCAUGAUAAAGAGAUUGGACUUCAGUACAUGUAUGAGGUGAAUUAAAAAUACUGUUUCUUUUGAUUAUUAUUUUUACAGUGCAUAUAUUUGUAAUAAAAAAUAAUAAUAUAAAGUGAGCACCGUGCGGUUUGUAUUCUGUGUUGUAAUUUAAAUCAAUAUUGAAAAUGUAGAAAAACAUUCAAAAAUAUUUAAUACAUUUCAAUUGGUAUUCUAUUAUUAUAAGUGCAAUUAAUCGUGAUUAAUUUUUGAGUUAAUCGCGUGAAUUAACUGCGAUUAAUUGACAGCCCUAGUUCUUAUCUAUCUUUCAGCACUUGCACUUCCAGUUCUGCAUUCUUGUUUUAAAUACCUUGCUUUCCCCACCCACUUCUCUUUCCCUCUAACUUUCUCUUUUGUUUUUUUUCCUUCCAGAAAUGACUAAGCUUCCUGUUAUUCCACUCCGUCAAUUUUUCCCCCAAUAUUAUUUUCAUGUUGAGCAAUAUUUAUUUGCCAGCAGCUUCCUUUGGAGUUUUCCUACUCUGUCUCCAUUGUAUUUCUGUUUUUUUGCCAAUUACUUUUUAUUAUUAGCAGACAUUAUGUCCAUGCCUAUGUUACUCAAUUGAGCUCAUGUCCCAAAGUGAAGAAGAAAAAUAAUAAUCUGAAAUUAUUUUUCUCAUAAAUUCAUAGUCUCCCAGAAAAGACUGUCAGAGGGUGUUUUCAGAAAACUCAACUUUCAGUCUCCUGAAGAUAUUACACUUUGCAUUUUAAUAUAACAGAUCUUUCAUUGUCACUGUUUUAUAUACUCUGUCUUCAGUGGGAUUACUCAGAUGUGUAAAGUUACUUGUGUGUAAUAGUUUGCUGGACCUGGCCCCCAGAAUACAACUAUGUAGUUUCUACUGUACAUUCUGAACUUGCUGUUUUCAGCGUUAACCAUCUUCAGGACUUUACAGAAGUCUGUGUGUUGCUAGACUUUUUUUUUUCUUCUUCUCCUUGCUGCACUACUGACUUUGUGCGGAAAUUAACACCUUUUAGCCUCUUAAAUUAUCAUAAAACCUUGGUAUUUAGUAGAAUCCUCAUCACAACUAUAGAUUAGAGUUAGCUUUCUGAAACUUAGAGCUGAUCACAAGAGAUUAAAAUUAAGAAUUUAAUCACCACAAGCACUUCUUUCCUAAAAGCAAGAAUGAAAGCCUCCUCUGCACACACAAGAUCUCAAUCCUAAAAGCUCAGAGAAUUCACUCAAGCUUUUUCCACACUGGAAAAUGUGCUAAGGAUAAAAUUUUUCUUGGUAUAAUCCAGCUCUAGUUGAAAUCAAUGACAAAAUUCCACAUUGUUAAAAGAGAGAAAGACCAUCAAGGACAAACUACAAAAAACAAAGCAAUAAUCAAGAUACUGUUGAUGAACUGUAGUAGUCAGAAAAAAAACCCAGAGAAACAUAUGUAGCUAGAAUUGAAACACAUAAUUUGAACUAUGUGUACCUCUGUGUGGCAUUAAUGAACCUGUGUGAAACUCAGCAUGUCUUCAUGUGGUUGUGUAUCCCAUAAAUUCUGCUUUAAGUUUGGGGUUUCAGCAAGCCCCAAAACUCAAAGAAACAUCUGAAUUUCCAGCUGGUUUGCAUCAAAAUCAGAUGUAAUAUAAUGAUUUUUGAGGUGUGGUUUUGUUGUAGAACCAGAAAUAGGCCCACGGUUCAAAACCCAUUUUGUAAUAAAACUCUAAAUCAUA